rnacentral:piRNA from 1 species
UAAUAAGUGGCCAGGGGAGACUCUCAG